CCUACGGGGGGCUGCAGCUAAGAAUAUUCCGCAAUGGGGGGAACCCUGACGGAGCGACGCCGCGUGGAUGACGAAGGCCGGAAGGUUGUAAAAUCCUUUUCUAGAUGAAGAAUAAUAAGAGUAGGAAAUGACUUUUGGAUGACAUUAGUCUAGGAAUAAGCCCCGGCUAACUACGUGCCAGCAGCCGCGGUAACACGUAGGGGGCGAGCGUUGUUCGGAAUUAUUGGGCGUAAAGGGCAUGUAGGCUGAUUAGUAAGCCUGGUGUGAAAUCCUAUAGCUUAACUAUAGAUGUGCAUUGGGUACUGCUAGUCUUGAAUCACGGAGGGGAAACUAGAAUUCCAGGUGUAGGGGUGGAAUCUGUAGAUAUCUGGAAGAAUACCGGUGGCGAAGGCGGGUUUCUAGCCGAUGAUUGACGCUGAGGUGCGAAAGUGUGGGGAGCAAACAGGAUUAGAUACCCGAGUAGUC
rnacentral:rRNA from 1 species